GGGGCUCAGCGGCUUCCGGUGCGAGGCUGUGUGAGCGUAGGGUGCGGAGUUAAUGGUGCAGCUGCGGGAGCGGCCGUGUCUGCCGGCUGUGUGAGAGGAGGUCGCCGGCUGGCGGUGCAGCGGCCUCCGUCGCAGCCGUGUGGCUGUCCUAGUGCUUCAAACCCUUGUUGUUUUUUAAGAGGCCUGGAGUGCGAAGGUCUCAGGGAAAAAGAAUCCUUAGUUGACACCUGAUGGGAGGGUAGAAUGUGUUCUGCACACCCUCAUCCCACAGAGACAGCUUCAGUGGCGUGUGUGAGGAACGCUCCACAGCCUUCAGCUGAGGGGCACAAGCUGUGUCUGGAGAAGGGUAGGUUUCAAAAACAGUUGGGAAGUGUUCUUAAAAAUCACGGUUGCAGUGACUGAAGCUUUGAGCCCUUUCCUCUAAAAUGGCAUAGGGAAAUUAGUGGGUUUUAUUCCUUCUUUCUACUUUGGUAUUUUUCAGACAUCACUGUUGGUUCGUCACUACCCAGCGAUCUUUCAACCUUUGUUUGCAGGAUUUACUUGAGCAGCAUUUGCUGCCUGUGAAAACACAUGGGCAUUGACUCCAGAGUGAGGUACUGUCUGUUACUGCUGCACCUCGUCUUCAAUGGAACUGUAUAACCUACCAUAGCAGCAGCGUCAGAAGUGCCAGACAUGGCCCCAUCCAUCCCGGCAGUCCAUCCCUGGGCUCAGAAAGACCACCCCUCAGCAACAGCUGAGGAUCAGUGUUCACUACUGGAUCAGUGAAGCUGUAGCAAACACACGGCCCUGGGAACCUAUAGCUUUGGAGGGCUGAAGCUUGAUGAUCUUUAAGGUCCCUUACAACCUAAGCCAUUCUAUGAAGCACUGACAGCUACACAAAGAAUACCUAUCUGACCUACAGAUACACUGCACCAAAUGAAAUGCUGUCUCAUGUAUGUAAAAUGUAUAAAAUAGCUAUCACAAAAUUGUUCAGUUGGAAUAAAAAUACAGUGACACUGCAUUUCACAUACAUCUAAAUGAUUUCUUACGCAUUCUUUGUAAUUCUGAAUUGACUGGAUUUUAAUUCUUUUGAAUAAAAUAAAACAAUACCCCUUGUCGGCUGUCAAACA